AUACGGAGGAUGCAAGCGUUAUCCGGAUUUAUUGGGUUUAAAGGGUGCGUAGGCGGUUUGCUAAGCGGGAGGUGAAAUGCCGGCGCUCAACGUCGGAAGUGCCUCUCGAACUGGUGGACUUGAAUGACUCUGCCGCGGGAGGGAUGGGUAGUGGAGCGGUGAAAUGCUUAGAGAUUACACAGAACACCGAUUGCGAAGGCAUCUCACGAAGGGUUGAUUGACGCUGAGGCACGAAAGCGUGGGGAUCAAACAGGAUUAGAUACCCUGGUAGUCCACGCAGUAAACGAUGAUGGCUAACCGCUGGGCUUAUCAGUUCAGUGGCCAAGCGAAAGCGAUAAGCCAUCCACCUGGGGAGUACGACCGCAAGGUUGAAACUCAAAUGAAUUGACGGGG
rnacentral:rRNA from 1 species